AUUGAACGCUGGCGGCAUGCCUAACACAUGCAAGUCGAGCGGAUGAAGGGAGCUUUUUCCUGGAUUCAGCGGCGGACGGGUGAGUAAUUCCUAGGAAUCUGCCUGGUAGUGGGGGAUAACGUCCGGAAACGGGCGCUAAUACCGCAUACGUCCUGAGGGAGAAAGGGGGGGAUCUUCGGACCUCACGCUAUCAGAUGAGCCUAGGUCGUAUUAGCUAGUUGGUGGGGUAAAGGCCUACCAAGGCGACGAUCCGUAACUGGUCUGAGAGGAUGAUCAGUCACACUGGAACUGAGACACGGUCCAGACUCCUACGGGAGGCAGCAGUGGGGAAUAUUGGACAAUGGGCGAAAGCCUGAUGCAGCAAUGCCGCGUGUGUGAAGAAGGUCUUCGGAUUGUAAAGCACUUUAAGUUGGGAGGAAGGGCAGUAAGUUAAUACCUUGCUGUUUUGACGUUACCAAAAGAAUAAGCCCCGGCUAACUUCGUG
rnacentral:rRNA from 1 species